GUUUCAACAAGUUGGAAGGAGAGAUUCCAAAUCUUGAAGCUCUGUCAGGGCUAGAGAUCAUGUAUCUGACUGGUAACUUUCUCACUGGGCCAAUUCCAGAUUGGAUCAAGAACAGAGAUGCCAAAUACCGAAUUGAUCUUUCUUACAAUGACUUUCAUGAGAGCUCUGUGCCAUCAAGUUGUCGGGAAACUCUGUGAGGCAUACUUCCACACUUAGCUGCUUUUUUUAUGCUUUAUGA